rnacentral:rRNA from 1 species
GGGGGAAUAUUGCACAAUGGGCGCAAGCCUGAUGCAGCCAUGCCGCGUGUAUGAAGAAGGCCUUCGGGUUGUAAAGUACUUUCAGUCGGGAGGAAGGUGGUAAGGUUAAUAACCUUAUCAAUUGACGUUACCGACAGAAGAAGCACCGGCUAACUCCGUGCCAGCAGCGGCGGUAAUACGGAGGGUGCAAGCGUUAAUCGGAAUUACUGGGCGUAAAGCGCACGCAGGCGGUUGAUUGAGUCAGAUGUGAAAUCCCCGGGCUUAACCCGGGAAUUGCAUCUGAUACUGGUCAGCUAGAGUCUUGUAGAGGGGGGUAGAAUUCCAUGUGUAGCGGUGAAAUGCGUAGAGAUCUGGAGGAAUACCGGUGGCGAAGGCGGCCCCCUGGACAAAGACUGACGCUCAGGUGCGAAAGCGUGGGGAGCAAACAGG